GUGGGGAAUAUUGGACAAUGGGCGAAAGCCUGAUCCAGCCAUGCCGCGUGUGUGAAGAAGGUCUUCGGAUUGUAAAGCACUUUAAGUUGGGAGGAAGGGCAGUAAGUUAAUACCUUGCUGUUUUGACGUUACCAACAGAAUAAGCACCGGCUAACUUCGUGCCAGCAGCCGCGGUAAUACGAAGGGUGCAAGCGUUAAUCGGAAUUACUGGGCGUAAAGCGCGCGUAGGUGGUUCAGCAAGUUGAAGGUAAAAUCCCCGGGCUCAACCUGGGAACUGACUCCAAAACUACUGAGCUAGAGUACGGUAGAGGGUAGUGGAAUUUCCUGUGUAGCGGUGAAAUGCGUAGAUAUAGGAAGGAACACCAGUGGCGAAGGCGACUACCUGGACUGAUACUGACACUGAGGUGCGAAAGCGUGGGGAGCAAACAGGAUUAGAAACCCGGGUAGUCC
rnacentral:rRNA from 1 species